ACAUCUGACAUACGACAUAUACUCGUAAUACGUAAAGACUGAACACGAAACUACAGGUCCGCACAUUUCACACGACUAAAAUACAAGCAUUGUAGAGCCCCCCCAUCAAUUUAAGCGACUAACACAAUUCAAGUGUAGAUCUGGUGCACACAAAACAGUUUAGUAACAGUCAACACAAAAAACUACAGGUAAACACAUUUCCUCCUGUAAUCGGAUCGGG